ncrna:unclassified sequences abiF RNA
CCUCGCUAAGCCUCUUCACAAUGCUCAAAUCGUGCGAGGC